rnacentral:sRNA from 1 species
CACUCUUGGCGUGUGCGUCCUUGUAUGCUUCUGUGACA